rnacentral:rRNA from 1 species
CUGUGAGGCAUGCUGGAGGUAUCAGAAGUGCGAAUGCUGACAUAAGUAACGAUAAAGCGGGUGAAAAGCCCGCUCGCCGGAAGACCAAGGGUUCCUGUCCAACGUUAAUCGGGGCAGGGUGAGUCGACCCCUAAGGCGAGGCCGAAAGGCGUAGUCGAUGGGAAACAGGUUAAUAUUCCUGUACUUGGUGUUACUGCGAAGGGGGGACGGAGAAGGCUAUGUUGGCCGGGCGACGGUUGUCCCGGUUUAAGCGUGUAGGCUGGUUUUCCAGGCAAAUCCGGAAAAUCAAGGCUGAGGCGUGAUGACGAGGCACUACGGUGCUGAAGCAACAAAUGCCCUGCUUCCAGGAAAAGCCUCUAAGCAUCAGGUAACAUCAAAUCGUACCCCAAACCGACACAGGUGGUCAGGUAGAGAAUACCAAGGCGCUUGAGAGAACUCGGGUGAAGGAACUAGGCAAAAUGGUGCCGUAACUUCGGGAGAAGG